rnacentral:rRNA from 1 species
UGCACGGCUGUCGUCAGCUCGUGUCGUGAGAUGUUUGGUCAAGUCCUAUAACGAGCGAAACCCUCGUUUUGUGUUGCUGAGACAUGCGCCUAAGGAGAAAUUGCCACCGAGUGACGUGCCAGCGCUACUACUUGAUUGAGUGCCAGCACGUAGCUGUGCUUUCAGCAAGAAUUUCACCAUUGGGAGCCGGUGCCUUUCGAAGCACUUUCACGUGUGAACCGAAGUCGUCUUGCCCAAGACCCACGGAGACCUACCUAUAGUGACGUCAAAGUACCAGUGAGCAUGGAGGUUUGGUUGAAAUUGAUUACGACGACGUCGAGUUGGCGGCGGAGGAAGACUCGGCAUGAAGGCCAGAAAAUGGUGUGGAACGUAGUGGUAAUAGUACGCGCCCCGCUCCGAAACAAAGAAAAAGGUGCGUGCCGCACUCACGAGGGACUGCCAGUGAGAUACUGGAGGAAGGUGGGGAUGACAUCAAGUCCGAUG